UACGAAGGGAGCUAGCGUUGUUCGGAAUCACUGGGCGUAAAGCGCACGUAAGGCGGAUGUGCAGUCAGGGGUGAAAUCCCGGAGCUCAACUUCGGAACUGCCCUUGAUACAGCACGUCUUGAGUCCGGAAGAGGUGGGUGGAAUUCCUAGUGUAGAGGUGAAAUUCGUAGAUGAUUGGGAGGAACACCGGUGGUCGAAGGCGGUUCU
rnacentral:rRNA from 1 species